rnacentral:rRNA from 1 species
AUUGAACGCUGGCGGCAGGCUUAACACAUGCAAGUCGAGCGGAGAUGAGGUGCUUGCACCUUAUCUUAGCGGCGGACGGGUGAGUAAUGCUUAGGAAUCUGCCUAUUAGUGGGGGACAACAUUCCGAAAGGAAUGCUAAUACCGCAUACGUCCUACGGGAGAAAGCAGGGGAUCUUCGGACCUUGCGCUAAUAGAUGAGCCUAAGUCGGAUUAGCUAGUUGGUGGGGUAAAGGCCUACCAAGGCGACGAUCUGUAGCGGGUCUGAGAGGAUGCUCCGCCACACUGGGACUGAGACACGGCCCAGACUCCUACGGGAGGCAGCAGUGGGGAAUAUUGGACAAUGGGGGGAACCCUGAUCCAGCCAUGCCGCGUGUGUGAAGAAGGCCUUAUGGUUGUAAAGCACUUUAAGCGAGGAGGAGGCUACUGAGACUAAUACUCUUGGAUAGUGGACGUUACUCGCAGAAUAAGCACCGGCUAACUCUGUGCCAGCCGCCGCGGUAAUAC